rnacentral:lncRNA from 1 species
AUUGGGCAGAUUUGUGAUUUCAGGCUUUUUAAAUUUUGAAAAUAAAAAUUAAUUAUGUAUACACAUGGAUCAAGGUUAAGUAUAUAUUUGAGUACUAAAUACCAUCAUUAAGAAGGACAAUCCUAUAAUCUAAGCAUAAUAACUUUAAAAAGAAAGCAACAAUUAAUGCUUUCAACGACUUGAUUAGAUUCUUAAUGGUUAAUAAUUAAUGAAGGGCCUGAGAAUAUGAGGAUUAGAAG